rnacentral:rRNA from 1 species
AUAUCAAUAAGCGGAGGAAAAGAAACUAACAAGGAUUCCCCUAGUAACUGCGAGUGAAGCGGGAAAAGCUCAAAUUUAAAAUCUGGUGGUCUUUGGCCAUCCGAGUUGUAAUUUAGAGAAGCGUCUUCCGCGCUGGACCGUGCACAAGUCUCCUGGAAUGGAGCGUCACAGAGGGUGAGAAUCCGUCUUUGGCACGGACACACCAGGGCUUUUGUGAUGCGCUCUCGAAGAGUCGAGUUGUUUGGGAAUGCAGCUCAAAAUGGGUGGUGAACUCCAUCUAAAGCUAAAUAUUGGCGAGAGACCGAUAGCGCACAAGUAGAGUGAUCGAAAGAUGAAAAGCACUUUGGAAAGAGAGUGAAACAGUAC